rnacentral:lncRNA from 1 species
CCUAACCAUUGUAUCUGAUACAAAAGUCGGUGGGAGUGAGUGAAUUUAUACUCAAAAGCGGCUCUGUCAAUGGCUACUUUCAUUGGAUGUUCUCCCUCCCUAAGGUGGUGCACAACCAACAAGUAGUUGUUCAAAGUCCAUGGCCCUCUGUUGAGCACUCUCUGGAUAUCCACUUCGCAGAAAAAGCUUUAUAAGUAAUGGCUGGAACUGAGAUCUACAAUAUUUACUCCCCCUAUCGGCCUCCACAGAUCUACCAAUGUAUUUUUCAUCAGUUCAAACUUUCUAACCACUUCUGUUAAGAAUCUACCCACUAAACAGAGGUCAUACGACUCUUGCUGUUUAGGGACAAGUCCAGUUAAGUCUCAGCCCCCAUCUUCCUCCUCUGCAAUCGACAACAACACCAUGUCAUCCACCAUAUCCAUCGGUCACCCCUUACAUGCCAAUCGACGGACUAUUGAUAGAAACAACAAUAGCUUUUCUAUGGUGCAAAAAGAUCUCACUGUUGGAAACAACACCUCUUGCAACCAAACAAAGUAAAUGGAAAAGAGGGUCAUCCAACACUGACUUGGUAUUAGACCAAGUCAAUACCUAUUUACAUUCUAUUUAUAUUUGUAAGUUUCAAAACCCAACCCUCUCAAUAAAUAGGGGAAAUAAUUAACUUUAUUAUCUGGAAUGAAGGAAUCAUCAGGGUAGAUUCAUUUUUUGUUCGUAUAGUUAUUUGAAUAGCCAUAUGUUCUCGUCAAUUGUUUAUUUCAAGCAAGGAAAAAUUUCCUUUAUGGUUCAUUUG